GAAUCAGUUGCCAGCUUGAAGCGCAUGCAUUAUCUUUCCCCGCAUUCGAUCAGGUAAUGGCGUAAUGCUACAAAUAGAGGUUUCCUGUCAGUCCAUCGCAGAGAGAAGAGAGAUCAGGGAGAAGGAGAAGGGUCCUAGCUCGACUCCUCGUCGACACGUCCUGCUUCGUUCUUCCUCGCCGGCCGAGAGACAUGCAAUGAAAUUUUGCAGAAAUCCCCCUUUGCGACUGCGGUAAACGCGCCCUUGUCGUCUCGUUCGUCUACGAGCGGAGCGCGUGCUCCGAGGCCGGAGCGACGACUCGGAGCCCGUUGUAGGAGCUGCUGCGGGGAGACGCCGGAAGCUCGGAUCCACCGCGCGCUGGGGGAAUUUCCUCUCUAGGAGGUCAAUUCCGGCGGCCUGCCUGCUUGUGGCGGAACUGCCUUUUUUUGAACGGCGGCGGACUGAGAAAGAAGAUGAUCGGAAUUUGGUGCUCCCAUGGUAGAUUCAACUCGGGAACAACUCAAACGGGUCGCUAAUGGUGUGGUGAGGCUGUGUGUUCAAGGAAUUUAAAGGAGGGCAAGCAACCACGGCGAAUUUCACCGGAGAAGACAGCUCGUGCAAAGGGGGAGAAUGACAGGAGGUUGAAGAUGACUGUCUCACGGUGGUUUUUAUUUGAAUUAGCACUGCCCCAGGAUUGGCCACCUCAUGCUAGUGCUUGGUGUGUUGUCCUCCUGCAUGUAGGAUGCGUGGAGUGCUUUGAAUUUACACGGGAACCAACUGACGAUGCCGGCCAUGGAUAAGCUCGAGCUGCCCUGUUAUCUGUUGUGUUCUGCUCCUUUCUUUUCUGAACCCGUGACUUCAGGCCCAAAGAUCUCCAAAAUUUGUGUAUGAACUUUGAAAUCGGCCAAUAGGAGAUUUGUAGAAUUCAUAUUCCUCUUCAAUUUUUGUUACAGACAUAUGCUUAAUUCAA